rnacentral:rRNA from 1 species
AUUGAACGCUGGCGGCAGGCCUAACACAUGCAAGUCGAGCGGUAGCACAGGGAGCUUGCUCCUGGCUGACGAGCGGCGGACGGGUGAGUAACGUCUGGGAAACUGCCUGAUGGAGGGGGAUAACUACUGGAAACGGUAGCUAAUACCGCAUAACGCCGCAAGACCAAAGAGGGGGACCUCUGGGCCUCCUGCUAUCAGGUGAGCCCAGGUGGGAUUAGCUAGUAGGUGGGGUAACGGCCCACCUAGGCGACGAUCCCUAGCUGGUCUGAGAGGAUGACCAGCCACACUGGAACGGAGACACGGACCAGACUCCUACGGGAGGCAGCAGUGGGGAAUAUUGCACAAUGGGCGCAAGCCUGAUGCAGCCAUGCCGCGUGUGUGAAGAAGGCCUUCGGGUUGUAAAGUACUUUCAGCGGGGAGGAAGGCGGUGAGGUUAAUAGCCUUGCCGAUUGACGUUACCCGCAGAAGAAGCACCGGCUAACUCCGUGCCAGCCGCCGCUGUAA